CGAAGGGGGCUAGCGUUGCUCGGAAUUACUGGGCGUAAAGGGAGCGUAGGCGGACAGCUAAGUCAGAGGUGAAAGCCCAGGGCUCAACCCUGGAAUUGCCUUUGAUACUGGCUAUCUUGAGUAUGGGAGAGGUGUGUGGAACUCCGAGUGUAGAGGUGAAAUUCGUAGAUAUUCGGAAGAACACCAGUGGCGAAGGCGACACACUGGCCCAUUACUGACGCUGAGGCUCGAAAGCGUGGGGAGCAAACAGGAUUAGAUACCCUGGUAGUCCACGCCGUAAACGAUGAGAGCUAGUUGUCGGCAUGCAUGCAUGUCGGUGACGCAGCUAACGCAUUAAGCUCUCCGCCUGGGGAGUACGGUCGCAAGAUUA
rnacentral:rRNA from 1 species